CCAAUAGCGUAUAUUAAAGUUGUUGCAGUUAAAAAGCUCGUAGUUGAAUUUCGGGACCACUAUGUCGGUCGUGCUUCGGUACGUACUGUCAUUAUUGGUUUCUCCCUUCUGAAGAACCUUGAUGUCAUUAAUUUGGUGUCUUGGGGAAUCAGGACUGUUACUUUGAAAAAAUUAGAGUGUUUAAAGCAGGCUCGCGCUUGAAUACAUUAGCAUGGAAUAAUGAAAUAGGACGUUUGAUUCUAUUUUGUUGGUUUCUAGGAUCGACGUAAUGAUUAAUAGGGAUAGUUGGGGGCAUUAGUAUUCAAUUGUCAGAGGUGAAAUUCUUGGAUUUAUUGAAGACUAACUACUGCGAAAGCAUUUGCCAAGGAUGUUUUCAUUAAUCAAGAACGAAAGUUAGGGGAUCGAAGACGAUCAGAUACCGUCGUAGUCUUAACCAUAAACUAUGCCGACUAGGGAUCGGAUGAUGUUAAUUUUUUAAUGACUCAUUCGGCGCCUUACG
rnacentral:rRNA from 1 species